rnacentral:misc_RNA from 1 species
GAUGAAGAACGUAGCGAAAUGCGAUAAGUAGUGUGAAUUGCAGAAUUCAGUGAAUCAUCGAAUCUUUGAACGCACAUUGCGCCCCUCGGUAUUCCGUGGGGCACGCCUGUUCGAGCGUCAUUUACACCCUCAAGCGCAGCUUGGUGUUGGGCGUCUGUCCCGCUCUCCGUAGCGCGGACUCGCCUCAAAGUCAUUGGCGGCGGUCGUGCCGGCUCCUCGCGCAGCACAUUUGCGCUUCUCGGAGGCCCGGCGGAUCGGCAUCCAGCAAGCUACUUUUUAUGACUUGACCUCGGAUCAGGUGAGGGUACCCGCUGAACUUAAGCAUAUCAAUAAGCGGAGGA